rnacentral:rRNA from 1 species
GACGAACGCUGGCGGCGUGCUUAACACAUGCAAGUCGAACGGAAAGGCCCUGCUUUUGUGGGGUGCUCGAGUGGCGAACGGGUGAGUAACACGUGAGUAACCUGCCCUUGACUUUGGGAUAACUUCAGGAAACUGGGGCUAAUACCGGAUAGGAGCUCCUGCUGCAUGGUGGGGGUUGGAAAGUUUCGGCGGUUGGGGCUGGACUCGCGGCUUAUCAGCUUGUUGGUGGGGUAGUGGCUUACCAAGGCUUUGACGGGUAGCCGGCCUGAGAGGGUGACCGGCCACAUUGGGCCUGAGAUACGGCCCAGACUCCUACGGGAGGCAGCAGUGGGGAAUAUUGCACAAUGGGCGGAAGCCUGAUGCAGCAACGCCGCGUGCGGGAUGACGGCCUUCGGGUUGUAAACCGCUUUCGCCUGUGACGAAGCGUGAGUGACGGUAAUGGGUAAAGAAGCAACGGCUAACUACGUG